GACGAACGCUGGCGGCGUGCCUAAUACAUGCAAGUCGAGCGGACAGAAGGGAGCUUGCUCCCGGAAGUUAGCGGCGGACGGGUGAGUAACACGUAGGUAACCUGCCCCUUAGACUGGGAUAACUCCGGGAAACCGGAGCUAAUACGGGAUAAUAAAGAGAAUCGCCUGAUUUUCUUUUGAAAGACGGUUUCGGCUGUCACUAAGGGAUGGACCUGCGGCGCAUUAGCUAGUUGGUAAGGUAACGGCUUACCAAGGCGACGAUGCGUAGCCGACCUGAGAGGGUGAUCGGCCACACUGGGACUGAGACACGGCCCAGACUCCUACGGGAGGCAGCAGUAGGGAAUCUUCCGCAAUGGACGAAAGUCUGACGGAGCAACGCCGCGUGAGUGAGGAAGGCCUUCGGGUCGUAAAGCUCUGUUGUGAGGGAAGAACAAGUGCCGGGGUAACUACCGGCACCUUGACGGUACCUCACCAGAAAGCCACGGCUAACUACGUGCCAGCCGCCGCAGUAA
rnacentral:rRNA from 1 species